rnacentral:antisense_RNA from 1 species
CUUGAGCGAACCGAUGAACAGCGGCCGUUCGGCAGGCCGGUCCUGCCCGUACGUCGCCAGCAGGGCCUGCGCCUC